AGCCGCGGUAAUACGAAGGGGGCUAGCGUUGCUCGGAAUGACUGGGCGUAAAGGGCGCGUAGGCGGAUUGCACAGUUAGGCGUGAAAUUCCGGGCUUAACCUGGGGAGUGCGUNUGAGACGUGUAAUCUUGAGUGUGAAAGAGGGUCGUGGAAUUUCCAGUGUAGAGGUGAAAUUUGUAGAUAUUGGAAAGAACACCGGUGGCGAAGGCGGCGACCUGGUUCAUUACUGACGUUGAGGCGCGAAAGCGUGGGGAGCAAACAGGAUUAGAUACCCUGGUAGUCCACGCUGUAAACGAUGUGUGCUGAUGUUGGGGUGCUUAGCACUUCAGUGUCGCAGCUAACGCAGUAAGCACNCCGCCNNGA
rnacentral:rRNA from 1 species